AAAGACUCAAACAUAUGUUGUCUGCUGCUCUUGAGGGUUAGGGUUGCAGAUUGCAGUAGAUCUUGUCUGUACUGUUCUUUCACCAUUAUUCAUUAUAAAAAGUGGUCUCCUUGUUGUUUCUCUACUAUCCAGGACAUACAGCCUCUACUGCAGGGACAACAAUGCCAGUCACCUCCACAUCUUCUAUUGGAGAUAUGAACUCGGGCCAGGGCGGUGGAGCUUCUGGGACAGGAGAGGGCGCUGUGGGUCGAGGUGGCAGUGGCCAGUCCUCGGCGGGCUCGGGCGGCAGCGGCGGGGUCAGGCAGCAGCGGUGGCCAGUCCUCGGCGGGCUCGGACAGCGGCGACAACUGGGCAGCAGGAGGAGCUGGAGGAUUCUGUGUAACCACACAGCCUCAAUCCAGCUUGGUAUAGAGGGGGAGUCACAAAGUUUUCCCUCUUAGAAGAGAUAAUGCCCUGUAUAGACAAGUUCAGUAAAACAUUUUGUUUAGUAUACAUUCACUGGAUUUGUCACGGACAACAACAAGUUCAGGAAAAAAUACAACUGUGAACAUUAAAUGUUUUAUAAUUUACCAUUGCCUGCUCAAAUUCUACUGAAAUCUUAUUUACACAUACCAUUAUGAUGACACCAAUGUGAACAAAUAUUUUUAAAUAACACUUUUUACAUCUUGUUGAAUACAUAGAAGAAAGAUCUGUAAUUUUCACAGGCUUUUCCAAUUAGCAUGAAUUUCAUCGCAGCAACUCAUAAUGUGACUAGAGUGUGUAUGACUGAAUAGUGUGUAGGUGCCUGUAUGCACUCCUGACAAUGUCUGGGCAUGCUCCUGAUGAGACAGCGGAAGGUGUCCUGGGGGAUCUCCUCCUAGACCUGAAUCAGGGCAUCAGUGAGCUUCUGGAAUGUCUGUGGUGCUACUUGGCAGCGUCAGAUGCACUGAUACACAACGUACCAGAGGUUCACAAUUGGAUUCAUGUCUGGGGCACAUGAGGGCCAGUCAAUGCAAUCAAUGCCUUCUUCAUCCAGGUCACGUACUCAUGUGCCAUCCUGGAGGAGCUGGACUGCCUGUGCAACCUGAAUGGGCUGCAGGUACCGCCUCAUACUAACAUUAGUGACAGGGACACUGGCAGAACACAAAACUAGAGAAGAAUAAGUCAGGAAGGAUAAGAAAGAGUAAUUGUCUGUAGCCACCACCUGCAAAACCUUUCCCCUUUUUAGGGCUUAUCUUGCUGUUACCUCUCCAGUGCACCUGUUGUUGCUUUCAUUUGCACCAAAACUGGUGACAUUGUUUCACAAUCGCUUAUGCUUCCUAACUGGACAGAUUGAAAUCCCUGAAGUUUAAUUGACAUAUACUGUAAUAAUGAAAUGUUCCCUGAUAUUUUUUGGGUAGUGUAGUUGAAACUUGGGGAUACAAAAACAAAUACAGUGAGGAGAACCAGUAUUUGAUACACUGCCGAUUUAGCAGGUUUUCCCCCUUACAAAGCAUGUAAAAGUCUGUAAUUUUUAUAAUAGGUACACUUCAACUGUGAGUGACGGAAUCUAAAAUAAAAAUCCAGAAAAUCACAUUGUAUGAUUUUUAAGUAAUCA
rnacentral:lncRNA from 1 species